AACGAACGCUGGCGGCAGGCUUAACACAUGCAAGUCGAACGCUCGUAGCAAUACGGGAGUGGCGGACGGGUGAGUAACGCGUGGGAACGUGCCCUGAGGUACGGAAUAACUGCGGGAAACUGCAGCUAAUACCGUAUGAGCCCCUAACGGGGGAAAGAUUUAUCGCCUUGGGAGCGGCCCGCGUCGGAUUAGCUAGUUGGUGGGGUAACGGGCCUACCAAGGCUUCGAUCCGUAGCUGGUCUGAGAGGACGAUCAGCCACACUGGGACUGAGACACGGCCCAGACUCCUACGGGAGGCAGCAGUGGGGAAUCUUGCGCAAUGGGGGCAACCCUGACGCAGCCAUGCCGCGUGAAUGAUGAAGGCCUUAGGGUUGUAAAGUUCUUUUGCCCGUGACGAUGAUGACGGUAACGGGAGAAUAAGCUCCGGCUAACUUCGUG
rnacentral:rRNA from 1 species